AUGGGUGAUGUUGAACAGGGCAAGAAGGUUUUUGUUCUGAAAAACCUUCAGUUUUUCAGUGCCACACCAUGGAAAAGUGAGGCGAGCAUAAGACUGGACCAAAUCUCCAUAGACUGUUUGGGUGGAACACAGGUCAGCCUGAUAGAUUCUCUUACACAGAUGCCAACAAGAACAGAGGCAUCACCUCUGGAGAGGAUACCUUGAUGGAGUAUUUGGAGAAUCCCAAAAAGUACAUCCCUGGAACAAAAAUGAUCUUCGCUGGAAUUAAGAAGGGAGAAAGGGCAGACCUAAUAGCUUAUCUUUAAAUGGCUACUAAUGAGUAA
rnacentral:lncRNA from 1 species